AUACGUAGGUGACAAGCGUUAUCCGGAUUUACUGGGCGUAAAGGGCGUGUAGGCGGUCUUGCAAGUCAGAAGUGAAAUUCCUGAGCUCAACUCGGGCGCUGCUUCUGAAACUGCAGGACUUGAGUGCUGGAGGGGAUAGCGGAAUUCCUAGUGGAGCGGUAAAAUGCGCAGAUAUUAGGAAGAACACCGGUGGCGAAGGCGGCUGUCGGGUCAGUAACGUACGCUGAGGCGCGAAAGCGUGGGGAGCAAACAGGAUUAAAUCCCCUGUGAGUCCACGCCGUAAACGAUGAAUACUAGGUGUAGGGGGUAUCGACUCCCUCUGUGCCGCAGUUAACACAAUAAGUAUUCCGCCUGGGGAGUACGGCCGCAAGGUUGAAACUUAAAGGAAUUGACGGGG
rnacentral:rRNA from 1 species